UUACAUAUUAAAAGUGCCUAUCUAACGGCAAUUCUUGGUUUAACGGGAAUUCUUGGUUUAACGAUUCUUUUAUUUUUUUUAACCCAAAAAUAAAUAAUUUUUAUUUUUUUUAAACGGGUUCUUUUAACGCCGUUAACUUUUUUCUUAUAAAAAUAUAUAUAAAAAAAAAAAGCAUCUCAAUCGUAGCUCUAUUUGCUCUGUUUAUUUACAUAAAUGAAUUGUUUCUCUUCUUAGGGCUACCAUCGAUACCUUCUAUCUCACGCACGAUCAAAAAAAAAAUCAUCUCAAUCGUAGCUUUGUUUGCUCUGUUUAUUUACAUAAAUGAAUUGUUUCUCUUCUUAGGGCUACCAUCGAUACCUUCUAUCUCACGCACGAUCAACUCCAGAAUUCUCCAUCCAGAAAAGAUAAUAUAGAUGAACCCACCGAAACUACUCUUAGAAUCUAUGGCUGCGAUCUCAUUCAAGAAAGCGGCAUUUUGCUACGAUUGCCCCAAGCUGUAAUGGCGACUGCCCAGGUUUUGUUCCAUCGUUUUUAUUGCAAGAAGUCUUUUGCUCGCUUCAAUGUCAAGGUUUGUUUUUCUCUAAUUUGUCCACCUUUAAUUUCUUAAUUCGUAUAUAAAAUUGUUAAUUUUUUUAACUAACACUAAAACUCUCUUUCUUUAUCAUCGUCUUCUCCUCUUCUUUCUCAAUCAAGCCUGUAUAAUUUCUAUAAGGCUCUUUGCUUCACGUAAUCGCCUUAUUGGGAUUAUCUAUAUAUCUUGGUUUCUCGUCUAAAUUCAAGAUUUUCGUUCUAACCCUUUUGCCAAAGUCUUCAAUUUUUCAUUCUUUUUUUUUUUUGACUUUUAUUAACAAAAAUAAAAAAUUGGAAGCGAAAUUAGGGGUUUUUAGGGAGAUUAAUUUAUGGGUUUGGUGUGAUUUGGGAUGUUUUGGAGCAACAAGCACAACUCAGAGAAGGUAUAGUUUCAUCAAAAAGCCUUUAAUGGAAAAUGAAUAUUUUUAUUUUUUAUUGGUUCUAGCUAUUAACAAUUUCAGACCAAAUUCUCUUCUAUGGUUUUGAUUUUUCUAAGGAAUGAAAUCCAUGUUGCUCUUUUCUAUUUCUCAUUUACAGCUCUGCACGAAAAAUUGAGGGAAGAAGUUCAGUGCCUUAAGAUAGCAACCACCGCCAAUACGGAAUCAGAGAAUAUUGGGUCGGGGCCAUAGCAGUCCAAAACACUCUAAACUCGACACUCGACACAAUAAGUGCGGUGACCGUUGUGGCCGAAACAAGUUGAGAGAAAAUGAAACGGUGGUAUGAGAUUUAGUGUAAGCUGCUUAUGAGAUUAUCCACACCCAGUUGUUAGUUGUUGUCAUCAUCUGUAUGUGGAGUUGUUAAGUCAUUUCAGGUCAGGUUUCCUAGACUGGUCCCUUGUUUGAUUUGAAGCAAAUUUGAAUCUGUAAUGUAUGAAUUGGCUUUAACUCUCUCUACUGUUUUAGUUCUGAAAUCCUCUUAAAACAUUCUGAAUUGGUGUGUUCAUCUUGACAAAUUUGUUUCAAUUAUAGGAUUUGUUUCAUUUAGAUAGUUUAAAAUGUACUUGUGUUGCCUUUUUAUAAUGUUGAAGCAUUUUUUCCUUCUUUCUUGUAAUUAAUGGGUAAUGCAAGCUUAUUAGUAAUUGGUGUAUGCUAUGAAUUUAUUCACCCGAUUGAUAGCUUUUUACAAUGCUUGUUUUGUGUAAAGGUUUCUUCUUCCAAGAAGACUGAAAAGGGUGGUAAAAACAUGAGACCAGUUGGGCAUUCCUCUACAAUGGACUAUUUAAGUAGCUCAACGCCAUAUGAUUACUCAAGGAACUAUGAUACGAUUACCAGACUGCCGAAUAGCUCCAUAUCUUAUGAUAGUUUUGCUGAUGCCACUUCAGAGAAGGAAUCAGGUAAUGAGUAUUUUAAGCAAAAGAAGUUUAAGGAAGCUAUUGACUGUUAUCUAGAACUAGAAGCAUUGCAUUAUCUCAAACAACAGUAGCUUAUGCAAACAGGGCUAUGACGAAUCUGAAGGUCAAAAGGCAAGUUUAUUACAAGCACUGCUGUAUUGUUUGGCACAGUUAGAUUAUUAAAAGAUUUUUGAACCAAAUGUUGUAUAAGCAUUUUAAUUCAGAAAGUGAUUUAGUUGUUUGUGUAGCAGUUAUCGUGCUUACUUAUUACCCAGCAAAAAUGUGACAUUUUGCCAAUUGCUUUUGGAGUAAGUUUCCUUUGUCUUCCAAUACUUGACUGAUAAUUCAAUUUUGUUCUUUAGAUUCUAGGAUGCUGAGGAUGACUGCACAGAGGCCUUGAAUAUGGAUGAUCGUUACAUUAAAGAUAGAAAAAUAUAUGGCCAUUCGCAUGUAGAGGUUUAUUUGAUGUUCGCGUGUAUUUUUCUUUUUUCUAGGAUGCUGAGGAUGACUGCACAGAGGCCUUGAAUAUGGAUGACUGCACAGAGGCCUUGAAUAUGGAUGAUCGUUAUAUCUUCUUCUGGAAAUGUUGCUUGCUCUGUAUUGUGACUUGAAAUUAGUAUUUGUUUUUUCUUCCUUUGAAAAGAUAGAAAAAUAUAUGGCCAUUCGCAUGUAGAGGUUUAUUUGAUGUUCGCGUGUAUUUUUCUUUUUUUCACUGACUAGGUUUUUCUUAUGUAAUGAUUAAUGAUUAGUAAGUUAAUCACAUGACAUCACUGUAGUUACUGUGCUUAUAUUUGUUCUAUUAAUUUAGUAUAGAUUUUUUAAUUUUGGAGGUUUUAUUGGGGGGAAAGAAACAUUAACUUUUUCUUUUGGCUCAUGCUUGUUAUGUCUCACAAUAUGUCUGCUACAAAUGCUUAUUGCUUUUUCCAAUAUAUAUAUGCAGCCUGUCACAAGUACUAUUUAGAAGACAGAAGUGUCUGGGGCUCAAGACUACAUCAAAGUUUCAACGAUUUAGUUUUCUAGCAUACUAAUAAACCUGCAUACUAAUGUUUGUCUUAUCUACUAAAUUCUGCUAGGCUUGCAAUGCUCUUGUAAGAUAUAAAACUCUAACUAAUAGUAACUGUUUAUAUUCUAAUGUGUGCAUUGCAUUUCCAUCAAUAUAUCUUAAAUUGUUUUCCAUCAAUUGGAGCAUAGAGAGGAGAAAAUUCACUGUGUUUGGAAUAGAAAAAACAUGGAGGGCAAGUCUAGAAUCAAGAAAGAUGUUAUUGAAGUAAUAUGUCUUUAUCAGAACUUAAUCUCAUGAUUCUCAUGAUUCUUCAUAACUUAAUUUUUAGAGUUAUCUUCAAUUAUCAACAAUUUAGAGAUUAAUUUUUAAUUU